ACGGGUGAGUAACGCGUGAGCAACCUGCCUUUCAGAGGGGGAUAACGUUUGGAAACGAGCGCUAAUACCGCAUGAUAUUAUUGAGCUGCAUGGCUUGAUAAUCAAAGGAGCAAUCCGCUGAAAGAUGGGCUCGCGUCCGAUUAGGUAGUUGGCGGGGCAACGGCCCACCAAGCCGACGAUCGGUAGCCGGACUGAGAGGUUGAACGGCCACAUUGGGACUGAGACACGGCCCAGACUCCUACGGGAGGCAGCAGUGAGGGAUAUUGGUCAAUGGGGGAAACCCUGAACCAGCAACGCCGCGUGAGGGAAGACGGUUUUCGGAUUGUAAACCUCUGUCCUCUGUGAAGAUGAUGACGGUAGCAGAGGAGGAAGCUCCGGCUAACUACGUGCCAGCAGCCGCGGUAAUACGUAGGGAGCAAGCGUUGUCCGGAUUUACUGGGUGUAAAGGGUGCGUAGGCGGCUUUGCAAGUCAGAAGUGAAAUCCAUGGGCUUAACCCAUGAACUGCUUUUGAAACUGCAGAGCUUGAGUGGAGUAGAGGUAGGCGGAAUUCCCGGUGUAGCGGUGAAAUGCGUAGAGAUCGGGAGGAACACCAGUGGCGAAGGCGGCCUGCUGGGCUCUAACUGACGCUGAGGCACGAAAGCGUGGGUAGCAAACAGGAUUAGAUACCCUGGUAGUCCACGCUGUAAACGAUGAUUACUAGGUGUGGGUGGACUGACCCCAUCCGUGCCGGAGUUAACA
rnacentral:rRNA from 1 species